UACGUAGGGUGCGAGCGUUGUCCGGAAUUACUGGGCGUAAAGAGCUCGUAGGUGGUUUGUCGCGUUGUCCGUGAAAACUCACAACUCAAUUGUGGGCGUGCGGGCGAUACGGGCAGACUGGAGUACUGCAGGGGAGACUGGAAUUCCUGGUGUAGCGGUGGAAUGCGCAGAUAUCAGGAGGAACACCGGUGGCGAAGGCGGGUCUCUGGGCAGUAACUGACGCUGAGGAGCA
rnacentral:rRNA from 1 species